GAUGAACGCUGGCGGCGUGCCUAACACAUGCAAGUCGAGCGAACGGACGAGACGCUUGCUUCUCUGAUGUUAGCGGCGGACGGGUGAGUAACACGUGGAUAACCUACCUAUAAGACUGGGAUAACUUCGGGAAACCGUAGCUAACACCGGAUAAUAUUUUGAACCGCAUGGUUCAUCAGUGAAAGACGGUCUUGCUGUCACUUAUAGAUGGAUCCGCGCUGCAUUAGCUAGUUGGUAAGGUAACGGCUUACCAAGGCAACGAUGCAUAGCCGACCUGAGAGGGGGAUCGGCCACACUGGAACUGAGACACGGUCCAGACUCCUACGGGAGGCAGCAGUAGGGAAUCUUCCGCAAUGGGCGAAAGCCUGACGGAGCAACGCCGCGUGAGUGAUGAAGGUCUUCGGAUCGUAAAACUCUGUUAUUAGGGAAGAACAUAUGUGUAAGUAACUGUGCACAUCUUGACGGUACCUAAUCAGAAAGCCACGGCUAACUACGUG
rnacentral:rRNA from 1 species